rnacentral:rRNA from 1 species
GAUGAACGCUGGCGGCGUGCCUAAUACAUGCAAGUCGAGCGAACAGACGAGGAGCUUGCUCCUCUGACGUUAGCGGCGGACGGGUGAGUAACACGUGGAUAACCUACCUAUAAGACUGGGAUAACUUCGGGAAACCGGAGAUAAUACCGGAUAAUAUAUUGAACCGCAUGGUUCAAUAGUGAAAGACGGUUUUGCUGUCACUUAUAGAUGGAUCCGCGCCGCAUUAGCUAGUUGGUAAGGUAACGGCUUACCAAGGCAACGAUGCGUAGCCGACCUGAGAGGGUGAUAGGCCACACUGGAACUGAGACACGGUCCAGACUCCUACGGGAGGCAGCAGUAGGGAAUCUUCCGCAAUGGGCGAAAGCUUGACGGAGCAACGCCACGUGAGUGAUGAAGGUCUUCGGAUCGUAAAACUCUGUUAUUAGGGAAGAACAAAUGUGUAAGUAACUAUGCACGUCUUGACGGUACCUAAUCAGAAAGCCACGGCUAACUACGUG